ACAUAUAUCCAGAUUAAACAACCAAGGCAGCCGCUCACCUUCCCUUAAAUCCAGUUUGGAUUGCAAGCAACAGUUAGAAGCUCAGAAAGGGACUGGAAGAACUGAGCAUUCUCAGUCCUUGUGGAAUAGCAGACAUCUGGAGAAGGGGCCAAAACAGCAGAUGAUGCACUUUCUCAAGGUCAUGUGGAACAUUUCUUUCAACAUUAGGCAAAAAAAGGAAGCUUCAUUUGUCCAGAAUGAUUAAAAAUACAAAGUAUGUUAGAUGAUUAAAUGGAAUUUGAAAUAAGUCAUAAAAAACUUAUAAACUUAAAAACACGUGAAUACUAAAUAACACAUUCCAGUUGUCAGUGUCAAACAGUGAAAACAAAAAUUAUAUCUAAAAAACCCUUGAAAUAUGUUAGGUGUCCUUAUAGCACAUACAUGAAAAUAUGUUCUUCAUUGGUUAUCUUCCCCAUUUUCCCCAAACUCCUGGUUCUUUCAUAUUUUUUCAUCUCCUGUCCCGUCCCCUUACCUUAAUGUCCUGUGUGUCAUUACCUUAGCCUUUCUAAAGCUUCAUCCUUCCUUGUUGUCCCCUUUUAUUUUAUGACUGUUUCUUUGAUUUUUCUGAAAUAGAUAUUGAUAGCUGUAAAUUUCCUUUUAGAACUGUUUUCAAUGAACCACAGAGUUUCUGGUAUCUGGCAUUUUAUCUAUAACUCAUUUUAGGAAUUUUUAAGUUCUCACCUGAUGUGUUUAAUAAGCCAUUUAAUAAUUUGUUCAAUAUCCUUGAAUUUGUUUAUCUUUUAUUACUUCCUUGAUGUAAAUAGUUUUUCAACUGAAAUUAUAUAAAGUAGAAGAUAUUCUUUCUAUAAUUCUUAUAGGUGUUAAGAUUCAUUAUGUGUUCUAAAAUGUGGUCUACUUUACAAAAAGUUCCAUAAACUGCCAAGAAGAAAAUAUUUCUGCUGUUUUGUGUGAAAUAUUUGUAAAAUGUGUUUGAUCUAAUAAUUUUGAUGUCAUUUUCUUUUAUUUUUGUGAGAGUUGGGUAUUUAUUGAAACCUCUCAUUGUAUUUAGCUCAACUAUGACUUUACAUCAAAACUACUCAUUUUAUAAAGUUAGUUACACUAAUAUUUAGUGAAUAUAUGUUUAGAAUUGGAACAUUUUCUUAAUAGAUUAGAACCUUUAUUAACUUGUAGAAAGAUAUCUAUGAGUUCAAAUCUCACAAAGCAAUCAAAGUGAAUUAUCUAUUCAUCUAUUCAACUCUCAAAAUGAAUUUUAAGGCAUCAAAUUGAUCCUUGAAAAGACACACCAAGGUUGGACAGUAUAAUGAACAAAUUGUGGUACCAGUAUUAGGAUACACAUGUAAAACUAUGGAAACCAGUUAAACCAGUCCAAACCUAAGUUUUAAAACCAUAAAACACUUAGAAGGUGGGCAUAAAUGUCAGAACCUUAGAUUUGAUAGUGAAUUUCCUCUUAUGGAACCAAAAGCAUGAGCAACAGAAAAGAGAACCAGCAUGUAGAUCUUACUUAAAACUGGCUCUCAAGGUAGUGAAACUACAACCCAUAGUGGACACAUAAUGUCUAUCUAGUAAGGGAAUUGAAUCUAGAAAACAUACAGAAGUCUUACAGCAUCAUAAUAAAAAGACCCAAUUUUAAAUAAUGGUCAAAUAAAUGUAAUAGACAAUCUAGUAAAGAGAUAUACAAAUAGAUAAUAAACACACAAACAACAUUCUGUCUUAUUAGUCUUCAGGGAAAUAUAAGUCAACAAUUGCAAAAAGGCACUACUUCAUAACCUACUUGGACGUCUGUAUUAAAAUGUCAGAUGAUAGCAAGAGAGGAUGAGCAUAACUCAGAAUCCUCAUACACUGUGAGGAGGCUAUAAAUUAGUGCAGCCUCAUCCUGGUAUGAAAAUAUCCUAGUGAUUCUUCAAAUGCUUAAUUACAGAGUAACCAUAUAAUGGCAUAAUCUCACUUCUUGAUAUGCAUCUAAGAAAAAUGCAAAAAAAAAUAGUUGCAGAAAAUGUUUCUAGCAACAUUAUUUACAAUAGCCAGAAAGUUGAGAUCAUUAAAAUAUCUAUGAACUGAUGAAUCAAUAAGCAAAUAUGGUCUACCCAUGUACCAUAAGAUUAUUAUUCAUUCAUGUUUCAACAUGAAAAAGUUUCUGAAACUCUAUGCUAAGUAAAUAAUGUCAUUAGUAAUGUAUGGCUCCAUUUUUGUAAAAUGUAAAGAAUAGGAAAUGUAUAGACACUAAAAGUAGGGUGCUAUAUAAAAUUGGGAAGAUGGAAGGAAAGAUAUACUAUAUAUUAUUUUUAUGUGAGGUAGUAAAAAUGGUCAAAACUAGUUGUGAUGAUUGUUGAAAAAACAUCAAAUCCACUGAAUUAUAAACUUGAAAGUAUCAACUGUUUGUUAUAUAAAUUAUAUAUCAAUAGUGCUAAUAUAAAAAAAUACACAUGUUAACAUCUCACCUAGACAUACUGUUUUAGAUGUAUUCAUGUAGCUAGACCAGGAUUAAGAAAUAGUAUCAGCUUUAACAGACAAAAUAAGAUAACAAAAACUUAAUAUGAGAUGCCAAGGUCUUAACUCAAAAUCUUUAAAUUGUGAUUGCUGACUGGCGUAACUGAGUGAAAAUAUAUACCACAGCUGUCUAAGACUUUAAUAAAUGAAUAUUUCUAAUAGAUCAAUAGUUACAGCCUUACAGAAUUCUUUUCCAACUCAUUCAUUCAUUCAUUCAUUCGUUCAUGAACUAAAGUAAAUUAUUUAUUCACUUUACAUCCAGAUCCUAUCCUUCCCUCUUUUCGCAGUCUCCCUUCAAACAGCCCCUCCUCCAUACUCGCCUUUCUUUCUCCUCUGAGAAGGGGGAGGCCCUGUUUUUGUGCUUGUUCUUUUGCUUACUUCAAGUCUUUUUCAGGGUUUGCUCAGGAUAGUGGUAUACCAUCCCUGGGUACCAAUCCACCCUGGUACAUCAAGUCACUCAGGACUAGGUACAACCUCUCCCACUGAGGCCAGACAAUUCCAGUCCAUGUAUGCUCUUUGGUUGUUGGUUCAGUCUCUGGGAGCCCUCAAACGUCCAGGUUAGUUGAUUCUGUUUGUCUUCUUGUGACGUUCCUAUCCCUUCUUGGUCCCUCAGUCCUUCCCCCCAACUCUUCCACAAGACUCCCUGAGCUAUAUAUAAUGUUUACCUGUGGGUCUCUGUGUCUGUUGUGGUCAGCUUCUAGGUGGAGCCUCUCAGAGGACAGUUAUACUAGGCUCCUGUCUGUAAGCAUAACAGGGUAUCAUUAACAGUGUCAGGGAUUGGUUCUUGUACUACUCUACAGUUGGCCCAUCAGGGUUCUACAAGUGUAUGUGACAACUUUAGGUCUGUCUACUGUUUGCCUAUUUUAAUAUAAGCGUCUAUUAAUGCUCUUUUUGUUCUUGUAUUCAUAUCAGUGUAGAGGAAGUAAAGCGUUAUCUUCUUCACAGUCAUGGGACCACCAGGAACUACCUUAACUUGAAUAAAGAAAAACAUAACAACAUAGUAACAUUAAUCUCAAAAAAGUAAGUGAAAUGUCGCUUUUGGGAGGCAAGACUGAGUUCCAUGUGCAGAAAGAAGGGAGUGUGUGUGACUAUGACGAAUGACCAGAAAGACAGAGAGAAGAUGGAAUCAGUACCUAGAUAAAAACAGAAACUUCAUAGUUCUUGCUUAGGUCAUGCAGCUUCAUUUUCCUGUCUGUCUUACAUUUAAUUGUUGCAUCACGAUAGGUUCUAGCUAGAAGACCCUUGGUUGUCGUAUCCUGCCCCAUUAAGACUUAUUGCACAUAUUUUCCAUUCUUUUCUCCCCUCUCUGCUGGCUUGUAGGGACUCAUCUCUAGGGUGAUCAUGGAAGCAUCUCACAACAGUAAUUAUUCUCCAUCAUGCAGGUCCUUAAAGGAUACCGUGGAGCAGUGCUUCACCCACAUGGCUUACCAUUGGGGCAUUAUUUAUGUUGCAAGAAUUUGCAUCAUUAAUCUGCCUCAAAAUGGCCUCCACUGACUUAUACAUAAUUCUCAACAUUUAAUUCCCCCCCUGAACCCACUGAGUGUGAUACAUGUUUAUCUCUGAGUAAACAUUUUCCCUUUCUGGUUCAUAUAUACUCUAUAGAUAAAGGAUUUAAUUCCUUGACUGUUUAAGGAAUGGAAGGAGUUCCAUCUUGAGUUUUGUGUCUUUCUUCUUGCAUUACUGGUGGCUUCUUUUCUGGAACCCUUAGUUAAAUUUGUGGUAUAUAUGCAAUUUAUAUUGUAUUAAUCUGAGAAACAUAAACAUAUUGCUCUCUAGGAAGUUUAAGCACAGUUGGGGGGGGCAGGCUAGAUAAGUACAUACUAUGUCCAUUUCAUUUUCUUUCCUCAUGUGAUACAUUUAACAACGUUUUUGUGUGUGAAUGAGAAGAAAUGUAUUUAGAUCUUCAACAGUCAGUCUGGAUUUGUAGAUGUUUUAAUAGAUUUGGAUUACCAUUCAAUAAAUUUGAUGGAUAACUGCAGAAGCAACUAAGAAUAGUAUUCCAAACAUGGCCUAUAUACAACUUUAAUUUGGCCCUCAUUUCAUAUUGGUAGUAUAUUGUAGCAUUCCCCCAAUCUUUCAACUUGCAAUGCUAGAAAAAAAUUCUGGAAAGUCUUGAGA
rnacentral:lncRNA from 1 species